AGUGAACGCUGGCGGUAGGCCUAACACAUGCAAGUCGAACGGCAGCACAGUAAGAGCUUGCUCUUACGGGUGGCGAGUGGCGGACGGGUGAGGAAUACAUCGGAAUCUACUUUUUCGUGGGGGAUAACGUAGGGAAACUUACGCUAAUACCGCAUACGACCUACGGGUGAAAGCAGGGGAUCUUCGGACCUUGCGCGAUUGAAUGAGCCGAUGUCGGAUUAGCUAGUUGGCGGGGUAAAGGCCCACCAAGGCGACGAUCCGUAGCUGGUCUGAGAGGAUGAUCAGCCACACUGGAACUGAGACACGGUCCAGACUCCUACGGGAGGCAGCAGUGGGGAGUAUUGGACAAUGGGCGCAAGCCUGAUCCAGCCAUACCGCGUGGGUGAAGAAGGCCUUCGGGCUGUAAAGCUCUUUUGUUGGGAAAGAAAAGCAGCAGGUUAAUACCCCGCUGUUCUGACGGUACCCAAAGAAUAAGCACCGGCUAACUUCGUG
rnacentral:rRNA from 1 species